rnacentral:rRNA from 1 species
CAUUAUCGAGUCUUGACCGGGUUGUAGCUGGCCUUCCGAGGCAUGUGCACGCCCUGCUCAUCCACUCUACACCUGUGCACUUACUGUGGGCUUCAGAUCGUAAAGCAGGGCCCUUCACCGGGCUUUGCAGGACGUGUCUGUGCCUGCGUUUAUCACAAACUCUAUAAAGUAUCAGAAUGUGUAUUGCGAUGUAACGCAUCUAUAUA